rnacentral:tRNA from 1 species
GCCUGGAUGGCUCAGUUGGUUAAGCAUUCGACUUUGGCUCAAGUCAUGAUCUCGUGGCUGGGUUCAUGGGUUUGAACCCCAUAUCGGGCU